CAAAGGAAUUGACGGGGCCCGCACAAGCGGUGGAGCAUGUGGUUUAAUUCGAUGCAACGCGAAGAACCUUACCUGGGCUUGACAUCCACGGAACCUGCUGGAAACAGUGGGGUGCCUUUCGGGGAGCCGUGAGACAGGUGCUGCAUGGCUGUCGUCAGCUCGUGUCGUGAGAUGUUGGGUUAAGUCCCGCAACGAGCGCAACCCUUGUCUUUAAUUGCCAUCAUUCAGUUGGGCACUUUAAAGAGACUGUCGGUGUUAAACCGGAGGAAGUGGGGAUGACGUCAAAUCAUCAUGCCCCUUAUGACCUGGGCUACACACGUGCUACAAUGGUUGGUACAACGAGUUGCGAGUCGGUGACGGCGAGCUAAUCUCUUAAAGCCAAUCUCAGUUCGGAUUGUAGGCUGCAACUCGCCUACAUGAAGUCGGAAUCGCUAGUAAUCGCGGAUCAGCACGCCGCGGUGAAUACGUUCCCGGGCCUU
rnacentral:rRNA from 1 species